AAAGGAUGCAAACUUCGUCAAUAAUACGAUAUUAGCUCAUUGAAAUGUGGAGAGAAUUGUCAUAUGCAUGCAAUAGUGCAUUCUACGAUUCAGUGGAUAAAACUGGAAAAUUUAUAACCAUAUCAUUACGCAAAAGUGUAGUUCUGGAGUAAAAAUUUUUCCCCCGUAACCCCAAAAUAUUUCAAAUGGAUCCACGGGAAGGAAAUAGAUUAACUUGUUCCACUUGCCUAAAAAUAUUCAGCUCGAAAACAUGCUUGAAACGUCACAUGGUCACGCAUGACGCCGAUGCGAAGGUGAAAUGUAAGGUAAUCGACUAAACUUAUUUAUGACAUUGAAAGUGACUCCAGAAGGCCUAUCAAAGCACAUAAAACUGCUUCACACCAACCGGAACCGACCCAAUUGCGAAAUAUGUCACCGUGUAUUUUUCACACGUCAAACUUUCCUAAAACACAUUGAAGUCAUGCACAAUACGAGGAAACGACCCUUGCGAAUUUCCUGGAUGUGAGAAAACCUACUUGAACCGCGAAACUGUAUCGCAACACGUAAAAACUGAACAUGUCGAGAAUCCGACCAGAUUUCCGUGCACACUUUGCGGUAAAGAAUUCAAGAAUAGAUAAAGACUUGGCACGCACAUUUCCACCCACACGACGGAGAAAGCGUACACUUGUUCAACUUGUGGAAGGAGCUUCUCACAUGAGAGAAGUUUAAAAAGGCACCAGGCAACACAUUUGGAAAAAUUGACGCGAAGGAUUUUCAAGUGUGAAGUUUGUCCUCAGAUCUCCUUAAGUAGAGCGAACUUGCAAAUACAUGUCCAAAUUGUGCAUGAAAAUCAGAGGAAUCAUCUGUGCACAUUUUGUAACAACAGAUUCUUGACAUCAGCCCAUUUGAGACGUCACGUGGAGGCGAGACAUAGUGGAAAUACGGAGAUUCAUUCCUGCAACAAAUGCGAGUACAAGAGUCACUCGAAAGGCAAUUUAGCUCAACACGAAAGGCGUCACAAUCCUGCGAAUCGACGAGAAUGUUACUUCUGCCAGAAGCAGUUUGUGAAUUUUUGAGAAUUGGUGGCCCACCAUACUCUGGAAUAUUGAUAAUCCAGGAAACUUGUUAUUGCUCUUGUAUGAUUUUGUUACAUAUUUGGCCGGCCAUUUGUACAUGCUUACUUUGCAUUCAAGUAAAAUUUAAAAACUCGACAAAUAUUCCUCAAACGUUGAUUAUAAAUUAAUAACCGUCUGAUGGGAUGAAAUUAUGUUUUUCAAAAUGUUAUGUAAAUACGAAUAAAACGAAGCGGUUAAUUACUGCAAAUAUUCCAA